GCCCAUUCGACAUCUUUCCUGCUCAGAAAAGGGAGCGGCUCUCCCAAGUAGACGGCCAAGUUGCUGUUCUCUGCUCAACAGGACUUGCCAAAUGUAAGCCGCCGGGCGGGGCGUUGCUCUUUCUGCCGAUUGGUGCUGGCGAGUGGGAAACAGAAAAGGAAAGCGAAAUCUCUCCUCCACCAAAUAAGACACCACUGCUCCAGCAAUGCGCCUCCUGUGGCUAAAAUGGAGAGGGUGUGAAAGCACGAGAUUCAGGACUUCCCCGCAGGGAGGUGAAGAGGAACAGAUGUCACCACGCCUUGGCUGGUGAAUGCAGGCAGGUCCUUACACCGCCUUGGUGUAAGACUGCCAGGGACAGGUGGAGAGAUGAAGUU